UCCCUAGAGGACUAGUGGUUAGGCCACAAUGCUCUUACAGCUGCGGCCUGGGUUCGAUUCCCAGCCACGGAA
rnacentral:tRNA from 1 species